UUUCCAUUUCAAUAUUUCUUUUAUCUUUCCUACUAAAACAAAUAAACAAUAUCAACAUCCGAGUCUCUAUUGAAGAAAAUGAUGAAGGAUUCCGUGAUCGUUUUGACGCAAUCUAAUAUCCUAGCUUUGUGUUCAUCGCUUAAGGUUGCAAGGAUUGUCUGGAAGACUUGGAUGGAUGGUUCGAGGGAAUAAAGACGCACAUGGGUUUUCAUAAGAUUUUAAAAUGUUUUGAUCAUUAUUUUUGACUUAUUUGAAAUAAUAUAAAGUUUUACUAUUUAUGGAUUGAAGUUUUGACCUCUGAUGUACUGUAUAAGUGACACGUCAGCCCGAGCCGGGUUGGGGUGUUACAGUUAUGGUAUCAGAGCUCAGGCUCUUUCCUGUCGAUUUCUUUUUAAACAAAACCUGUCCGGUAAAGGGUAGAAGUUGAUUUAGUACUCCUAAUCUUCCGCCAAAGCAUUAGGUUAGUCCAUAUAUAUAUUUUUCUAAGCCAUCGUUAAUGGUUAAUGGUUUGAUCUGAAGUUUA